rnacentral:rRNA from 1 species
GAUGAACGCUGGCGGCGUGCCUAAUACAUGCAAGUCGAGCGAACAGAUGAGGAGCUUGCUCCUCUGACGUUAGCGGCGGACGGGUGAGUAACACGUGGAUAACCUACCUAUAAGACUGGGAUAACUUCGGGAAACCGGUGCUAAUACCGGAUAAUAUAUUUAACCGCAUGGUUCAAUAGUGAAAGACGGUUUUGCUGUCACUUAUAGAUGGAUCCGCGCCGCAUUAGCUAGUUGGUAAGGUAACGGCUUACCAAGGCAACGAUGCGUAGCCGACCUGAGAGGGUGAUCGGCCACACUGGAACUGAGACACGGUCCAGACUCCUACGGGAGGCAGCAGUAGGGAAUCUUCCGCAAUGGGCGAAAGCCUGACGGAGCAACGCCGCGUGAGUGAUGAAGGUCUUCGGAUCGUAAAACUCUGUUAUUAGGGAAGAACAAAUGUGUAAGUAACUAUGCACGUCUUGACGGUACCUAAUCAGAAAGCCACGGCUAACUACGUG